CAUUGGAGUAGCAUACUUCAGAUGGCGACCGGCGCACGGGUGAGUAACACGUAUCCAACCUGUCGCUUACUCCGGAAUAGCCUUUCGAAAGAAAGAUUAAUACCGGAUAGCAUACGAAUAUCGCAUGAUAUUUUUAUUAAAGAAUUUCGGUUAUCGAUGGGGAUGCGUUCCAUUAGUUUGUUGGCGGGGUAACGGCCCACCAAGACUACGAUGGAUAGGGGUUCUGAGAGGAAGGUCCCCCACAUUGGAACUGAGACACGGUCCAAACUCCUACGGGAGGCAGCAGUGAGGAAUAUUGGUCAAUGGGCGAGAGCCUGAACCAGCCAAGUAGCGUGAAGGAUGAAGGCUCUAUGGGUCGUAAACUUCUUUUAUAUGGGAAUAAAGUUUUCCACGUGUGGAAUUUUGUAUGUACCAUAUGAAUAAGGAUCGGCUAACUCCGUGCCAGCAGCCGCGGUAAUACGGAGGAUCCGAGCGUUAUCCGGAUUUAUUGGGUUUAAAGGGAGCGUAGGUGGAUUGUUAAGUCAGUUGUGAAAGUUUGCGGCUCAACCGUAAAAUUGCAGUUGAAACUGGGAGUCUUGAGUACAGUAGAGGUGGGCGGAAUUCGUGGUGUAGCGGUGAAAUGCUUAGAUAUCACGAAGAACUCCGAUUG
rnacentral:rRNA from 1 species